rnacentral:rRNA from 1 species
GGUGAACGCUAGCGGCAGGCCUAAUACAUGCAAGCUGAACGGUAAAUGUUGUAGCAAUACAAUAUGAGAGUAGCGUAAGGGUGCGUAACACGUAUGCAAUCUACCCGCAACAGGAGGAUAGCUCCCCGAAAGGGGAAUCAAUACUCCAUAAGAUCACGAGAAGGCAUCUGAUUGUGAUUAAACUCCAAGGGGUUGUGGAUGAGCAUGCGCAUGAUUAGUUAGUUGGCGGGGUAACGGCCCACCAAGACGAUGAUCAUUAGGGGAACUGAGAGGUUGAUCCCCCACACUGGCACUGAGAUACGGGCCAGACUCCUACGGGAGGCAGCAGUAGGGAAUAUUGGUCAAUGGGUGAAAGCCUGAACCAGCCAUGCCGCGUGCAGGAAGAAAGCCUUCUGGGUUGUAAGCUGCUUUUAUCUGGGGAUAAAAUACCCGUGCGCGGGGAAUUGAAGGUACCAGAUGAAUAAGCCACGGCUAACUACGUGCCAGCCGCCGCGGUAAGAC